rnacentral:misc_RNA from 1 species
CUGUUAAUUAACGCAAGUUCCAUUCCGCGCAAUUUUUCAUCGUAGCGAACAUCUGGAACUAUCGGCUUGGCAACUAAGUGAUUGCGGAUUUUGUCAUUAGAUGCUAAUAGUAAAUGCCACAAUCGUUUAGUACGGUAGUUGUAGCGCUAGUAUCGAGCGGUGAUUUACCCUAAUCAGACCGAAGCCUAUCAGUCCACCGAUACACUGGGAACAAAUGUAGAGGAAGGUCAUGGGCAGAGAGACUCUCCCUAGGAUCAGAGCUGCCACUGUUAUGGAGGGAUUUAUGUGCGCUCCACUGAUGUGUCCGAUACACUGGAAAACUCACAUGGUAUUUUGAACUUCUUCGUGGCAGUCUGUAUGCUGGAGCUCGGAUUGAACGGGAUGCCAACGCUUUUCGAUUUUCCCGCUGUACUGGCGGUGAUCGCACCAGUCUGUAUUAUCGAGAUGCCAGUUUGCUCCAUGUCUCACGAACUGGUCCACGUCAAUCUGCCUGCCCGUUAAAAAAUUCAACGUUCAUUUCAUCGAUAGAACUCGUCGAGUUUAAAGGGAAGAAAAAUAGGAAUUCUUUCUUCGCGGGUAUCAACGAGUAAUUUUGUUUAUUUUUGCAAAUGGGAAAUAAUUUGUCAGUAGCCAUCCCAUCGAAUUCAAAAGAAACGAUCGAGAGAAAGUGAGAGAAAAAUAGGAAUUCUUUUUUCAAAAAUAUCCAUGAAUAAUUUUGUUCGUCUCUAUCGAUGAAAAAUAUUUUCCUCCGUAAUUUGUCAGUAGCCAUCUCGUCGAACUGCUAGAAAUAGAGAAACGAAAGAAGACAUAGAAAUUCUUUUUUCAGAAGUGUCCAUGAAACAAUUCAGAGAAAGGAAGAAAAAAAUAGGAGAUCUUCUCUCAGAGGUAUCCAUGAAUAAUUUUGCUCGUUUCUACGAAAUAGGAGACAUUUUAAUCCGUAAUUUGUCAGUAACAAUUUCGUCGAAUUGCUAGAAAUAGAGAAACGAAAGGAGAAAUAGAAACUCUUCUUUUCACAAGUAUCCACUUGUAGUUUCGUCCGUUUCUACAAAAGGAAGAUAUAUUUUGUCUCGAAAUUUCUCAGUAGCCAUCCCAUCGAAUUUCAAGAAACGAUGAAGAGAAAGUGAGAGAAAAAUAGGAAUUCAUUUUUCAAAAAUAUCCAUGAAUAAUUU